rnacentral:misc_RNA from 1 species
AACGCACCUUGCGCUCCUUGGUAUUCCGAGGAGCAUGCCCGUUUGAGUGUCGUGAAAUCAUCAACCCCCUACAAUUUGUUUUGUUGGGAGGCUUGGAAUUGAGGGUUCUUGUCGGAGAUUACUUCGACUCCCUCGAAAGUCAUUGGCUUCCGGUGAACCCUUCGUUGGCGUGAUAGGCAAUAUCUACGUCUGUGCGGGCGGGGACGUCGGCGCCUUGUGGAAACUACUUUUUUUUCCUUUGACCUCAAAUCGGGUAGGACUACCCGCUGAACUUAA